GACCUGAGCUCAGGCAAGAUUACCCACUGAACU
rnacentral:rRNA from 1 species